rnacentral:rRNA from 1 species
AACGAACGCUGGCGGCAUGCCUAACACAUGCAAGUCGAACGAGACCUUCGGGUCUAGUGGCGCACGGGUGCGUAACGCGUGGGAACCUGCCCUUAGGUUCGGAAUAACUCCCCGAAAGGGGUGCUAAUACCGGAUAAUGUCUUCGGACCAAAGAUUUAUCGCCUUUGGAUGGGCCCGCGUUGGAUUAGCUAGUUGGUAGGGUAAAAGCCUACCAAGGCGACGAUCCAUAGCUGGUCUGAGAGGAUGAUCAGCCACACUGGGACUGAGACACGGCCCAGACUCCUACGGGAGGGAGCAGUGGGGAAUAUAGGACGAGGGAGGAAAACCUGAUACAGCAAUGCCGCGUGAGUGAUGAAGGCCGUAGGGUUGUAAAGCUCUUUUACCCGGGAUGAUAAUGACAGUACCGGGAGAAUAAGCACCGGCUAACUACGUG